CCUACGGGAGGCAGCAGUGAGGAAUAUUGGUCAAUGGACGGAAGUCUGAACCAGCCAUGCCGCGUGCAGGAAGACGGCCCUAUGAGUUGUAAACUGUUUUUGUACGAGGGAAAAUUUGAAUUCGUGUAUUCAGCUGAAAGUACUGUACGAAUAAGGAACGGCUAACUCCGUGCCAGCAGCCGCGGUACUACGGAGGAUCCAAGCGUUACCCGGAUUUAUUGGGUUUAAGGGGUGCGUAGGCGGAUUGAUAAGUUAGAGGUGAAAUGCCCGGGCUUAACUCGGGAACUGCCUUUAAUACUGUUUAUCUGGAGAGUGGAUGCGGUGGGCGGAAUGUAUGGUGUAGCGGUGAAAUGCUUAGAGAUCAUACAGAACACCGAUUGCGAAGGCAGCCUUCCGGCGCGCGACUGACGCUGAGGCACGAAAGCGCGGGGAUCGAACAGGAUUAGAUACCCGGGUAGUC
rnacentral:rRNA from 1 species